rnacentral:rRNA from 1 species
CCCCUUUGGGGGUACUCGAGUGGCGAACGGGUGAGUAACACGUGAGUAACCUGCCCUUGACUUUGGGAUAACUUCAGGAAACUGGGGCUAAUACCGGAUAGGAAUCCUUGCUGCAUGGUGGGGGUUGGAAAGCUUCGGCGGUUUUGGAUGGACUCGCGGCUUAUCAGCUUGUUGGUGGGGUAGUGGCUUACCAAGGCUUUGACGGGUAGCCGGCCUGAGAGGGCGACCGGCCACAUUGGGACUGAGAUACGGCCCAG